rnacentral:rRNA from 1 species
GACAGAGGGUGCGAACGUUGUUCGGAAUUACUGGGCGUAAAGCGCAUGUAGGCGGCAGCGCAAGUCGGGCGUGAAAUCCCACGGGCUCAACCGUGGAAGUGCACUCGAAACUGCGCAGCUAGAGUCCUGGAGAGGAAGGUGGAAUGCUUGGUGGUAGAGGUGAAAUUCGUAGAUAUCAAGCGGAACACCGGUGGCGAAGGCG